rnacentral:tRNA from 1 species
GGAAAGAUGCCGGAGUGGUCGAUCGGGGCGGUCUCGAAAACCGUUGUGCCUUCGGGCACCCAGGGUUCGAAUCCCUGUCUUUCCGCCA